AUAGCUAAAUUAGGAAAGCAUUUCACUUACACCGAAAAGUUAUCCGCACAAAUCGGAUUACUCUGAUACUUAAAAGCUAGCCAUACACAUAAUCAACAAACAAUUAUCAAUACAUAUUAAUAUACUAAAAAUUUAAUUAAACCAUUUUUCACAUCUUAGUAUAGGCGAUAGAAAAGGAAAUUUGAGCUACAGAUUAAGUACCGCAAGGGAAUGCUGAAAAAGAAAUGAAAUAAUACAGUAAAGUACAACAAAGCAGAGAUGAACACUCGUACCUUUUGCAUCAUGUUUUAGCAAGAAUAAGUUAAGCAAAAUGUUUUUUAGUUUGUUACCCCGAAACUAAGUGAGCUACUCCAGGACAGCCUAACAAAAGGGCAAACACGUCUCUGUGGCAAAAGAGUGUGAAGAUCUUUGAGUAGAGGUGACAGACCUACCGAACUUAGUUAUAGCUGGUUGUCUGGGACUUGGAUAGGAGUUUAGCCUUUAAUUUUUUAAAUUUAAUUUUGACUAAUCAUUACAACAACAAAAGAAUGUUAAAGAGUUAUUCAUAAGGGGUUCAGCCCUUAUGAAAAAGGAUACAACCUUAUCAGGUGAUUAAAGAUCACAUAUACAUAAAGUCAAUGUUAUAGUGGGCUUAAAAGCAGCCAUCUAACAAAAAGCGUUAAAGC
rnacentral:rRNA from 1 species